rnacentral:rRNA from 1 species
AUUGAACGCUGGCGGCAGGCCUAACACAUGCACGUCGAAAGAGUGGCGGACGGGUGAGGAAUGUCUGGGAAACUGCCCGAUGGAGGGGGAUAACUACUGGAAUCGGUAGCUAAUACCGCAUACAAUCGGAUGGGCCCAGAUGGGAUUAGCUAGUAGGUGGGGUAACGGCUCACCUAGGCGACGCUCCCUAGCUGGUCUGAGAGGAUGACCAGCCACACUGUAACUGAGACACGGUCCAGACUCCUACGGGAGGCAGCAGUGGGGAAUAUUGCACAAUGGGCGCAAGCCUUAUGCAGCCAUGCCGCGUGUAUGAAGAAGGCCUUCGGGUUGUAAAGUACUUUCAGCUAGGAGGCGUUACUCGCAGAAGAAGCACCGGCUAACUCCGUGCCAGCAGCCGCGGUAAUUC